CCUACGGGUGGCUGCAGUGAGGAAUAUUGCGCAAUGGGGGAAACCCUGACGCAGCAACGCCGCGUGAGUGAGGAAGGUUUUCGGACCGUAAAGCUCUGUCGAGCGGGAAGAAGUGCAUGGUGGCUAAUAUCCAUUAUGCUUGACGGUACCGCUAAAGGAAGCACCGGCUAACUCCGUUCCAGCAGCCGCGGUAAUACGGGGGGUGUCAGCGUUGUUCAGAAUCAUGUAGCGUAAUGGGCGAGUAGGAUGCGAAAGCCCUGGGCUUAAACUAGGAAGUGCAUUUGAAACUGUUCAGCUUGAGUAAGGGAGAGGAAAGUGGAAUUCCUGGUGUAGAGGUGAAAUUCGUAGAUAUCAGGAGGAACACCGGUGGCGAAGGCGACUUUCUGGCCCUAUACUGACGCUGAGACGCGAGAGCGUGGGUAGCAAACAGGAUUAGAUACCCUGGUAGUC
rnacentral:rRNA from 1 species